GAUGAACGCUAGCGGCAGGCUUAAUACAUGCAAGUCGAGGGGUAGCAAGAUUGUAGCAAUACAAUUGUUGACGACCGGCAAACGGGUGCGGAACACGUACACAACCUUCCUACAAGUGGGGAAUAGCCCAGAGAAAUUUGGAUUAAUACCCCGUAACAUAGCGAUGUGGCAUCACAUUGCUAUUAUAGCUUCGGCGCUUGUUGAUGGGUGUGCGGCUGAUUAGAUAGUUGGCGGGGUAACGGCCCACCAAGGCUACGAUCAGUAGCUGAUGUGAGAGCAUGAUAAGCCACACGGGCAAUGAGAAACGGGCCCGACUCCUACGGGAGGCAGCAGUAAGGAAUAUUGGACAAUGGACGCAAGUCUGAUCCAGCCAUGCCGCGUGAAGGAUUAAGGUCCUCUGGAUUGUAAACUUCUUUUAUAAGGGACGAAAAAAGGUCUUUCUAGAUCGUCUGACGGUACCUUAUGAAUAAGCACCGGCUAACUCCGUGCCAGCCGCCGCCGUAACAC
rnacentral:rRNA from 1 species